rnacentral:lncRNA from 1 species
GGCAAAACCAGUGUUUGAAAUCCCUGUCUGUUGACUAUAAACCUGGUACUUUUCACCACUGUAUUCUAUUUCCUCUUAGCAGUUCUCUGUCUUGAAUCUUAUUGUCUGCUUCUCAAAGGCCAAAGUGUAAACUUGCCUACAGAAAACAGAGAGAUUGGAGGAUUUCAGAGUAAAGAACACCGAAGACUAUGAGGCCAGGACGUGAGGAGGGUCAUCGCUAGUUUCUGGGGCCUCUGUUGGAACUUCCUGAGUGGGUGGCAACGACUCGCAAGUAGGGGAGGGGUGAGGAGGUUGGGCUUAGAUACCAGACACAGUGAUGAACAAUUUUUGUAAUUGACUCUCACGUUAGAGUGAUGAAGAAGAGACUGAUAUUAUCCUCAUUUUAAAUGUGAAAGGCUUUAGAGUCUUCUUACGGAAUUCUCUCUAAAUUGACUAGCAAAUGUGGAGCAGCUGAUUUAUAUGUUCUUAAAACGAUUAAGAAAGGCAGUAUUUCUUACCUGGUCGUAAGAAUCGUAUCAGUACUAGUUAAAAAUACUGAUGAUCAAGCCCUUUGAUUGGAGAGCCUUGUUUGGUGCUUUCACCAAAUGCCCAUGCGAAUCUUAUGGUAAGUUAAUUGCAGAUAUCUGCAGCAGAGGAUUCUGAAUGACGGGUGGCCGAUGGCAGUAAGGAUGCAGCUUGGGUUGUGUUCACUUUCAAUAGAAUGGUUUUUAGAGUGAUACUGAUAGAAUCAUAACCUGGCAAUUGCCGUGAAAAAUAAGCCGUAGGCCAAAUUAACUCCACAUGCUUGGGACCACUGCAUAUUUUGCCUCCUACAGAAACAAAAGAAUGGUAUUUUUAGAUUCUGAACAAUUUUGCCAUCUAAACUGCGUCUGCUUUCAUGUCACUGCUUCAGAGAAUAGUGAUAUCUCUACUUUUAUCCUAAACUAAUUUGCCCACUUUGUCAUCACCCAUAAUCUCUGGAGUGGAUUGGCCAUUAUGUGAAGAGUGACAGAAGAAUGUGAAAGGAGACUCGAAAGGCAAUGGAAAGUAUUGGAUCUUUGCACUGCUCUUUAUUCUAACACCCGAAUAGAAAAGAUGGAAGAAAUCAAAGGACUGCAUUUAUCCUGGGAAAAAGUUGGAAGAGCAAUUGUCCUUUACAUGAAAGCUUUUGUUACUUUUAUGCUUCUCUUAUUACUAGAAGGUAUUUUUAUGUGUGAUCAUCAAAAGUGGUAAAGUAUAGGACAAUGGCAGAAAAUUCAUUUUAUAAUUAUCCUUUGGUAAAAUAGCUUUUUUGCUCACUUGAAUUGGAAGAAUGAGCAGACAUCAUAAAGACUGUGAACUGUUUGAUGCCAUAAAAUUUCUCUUCUUUUAUAAUUUCCUUUUACAAUUUCUUGAUAAUGUCUAGUAGAAAUUUUAAUGCUGUAUUUAUAACUAUCUAAACAUGGAAUUGAAACAAAAUAAGGAAUCCCAGAAUGUGCUUAUUAAUAUACAUAGAAAACUUUAAUUCCAAUUAAAAAUACUACUUCCUAACCACAGUGAAGUAUCACCUGACACCUGUGAGAAUGGCCAUUAUCAAAAAGGCAAGAGAUAACAAGUAUUCUUGAGGAUGUGGCGGAAAGGGAACCCUUGUACACUGUUGGUGGGAAUGUAGUAAAUUGGUAACAGUAACUAUGGAAAAAAGCAUGGAGGUGCCUCAAAAAGUUAAAAAUAGAGC